UCCCAUGUGUUUAUUCCGAUGUCAAUAUCCCAUCUGAUCUUGGAAAGUAAGCAUGGUCAGGACUGGGUUAGUACUUAGAUGAGGGAUGGCCAAGGAAUACCAUGUGUUCUACACUGUAU
rnacentral:rRNA from 11 species